rnacentral:snRNA from 1 species
UCCGCUGAUCCAGUCAAUUUCGGU